rnacentral:misc_RNA from 1 species
AAAAAAAAAAAAUCCAUAUAACUAAAUGCUUAAUUGUUGUUCUACUCCUAUUGCCUCUACCCUAAUCAACUAUACCAUUCAAUCUAGAAUGUGUUUAUUGUUAAAAAUGUAACUUAGUCAUAUAUCUCUACCUCAAGCACUACCAAACAUAUUGUGAAUUCAUUCAAGAUUCCAAGUUGGACAAAAAAAUAUGUAUUUAUUCCACUUGGCAUGCAGUUGGAUACCAGAUGUUUAACACAAAACGAAGAAAAGGAAGAAGGAAAAGAAAGAAAAAA